rnacentral:rRNA from 2 species
AGAAUCAACGCUGGCGGCGUGCCUAACACAUGCAAGUCGAACGCGAAAGGGGAGCAAUCCCUGAGUAGAGUGGCAAACGGGUGAGUAACACGUGGGUGACCUGCCUUCGAGUGGGGGAUAACGUCCCGAAAGGGACGCUAAUACCGCAUGACAUCCUGCUCUUGGACGAGCGGAGAUCAAAGCUGGGGAUUCGCAAGAACCUGGCGCUUGAAGAGGGGCCCGCGCCUGAUUAGCUAGUUGGUGAGGUAACGGCUCACCAAGGCUACGAUCAGUA